rnacentral:misc_RNA from 1 species
GGAGAAUAAUUUACUAACUUAAAUAUAAUUAUAUAAAGAAAACUGUGGGUCGUUUGUUUAUAGCUGAAUUAGUAAAUUAUUCACUUACUGAGCAAUGUUUGCUGAAUUAGUAAAUUAUUCACUUACUGAGCAAUGUUUGCUGAAUUGUACCUCUGGCGUGAGCUGGUUGGGACGACUCCUAUAUGCUAAGUAGGAUCAGACCGAAAAACCAAUCAGAGAAAAGAGACACGAGAAGGGGGAGAACCCGGGAUAAACUAUACAUCCCAUGCG